UCAAAUCGAAAACAAAAAGAAAGUGAACAAAAGAAAUGACAAAAAUGAUGUCUGAAAACAAUAACAUCAUGUUUCAGGUUGUAACUGAGCAGGAAAGAUAGCACCAAAGCCAAACACAAGAAACCACUAAUUUUAAGCAGCCAUUACACACUACAGCAGCAUUAAGCAGCCCUCACUCCAAUAUUUUUUAACCACAACAAGUUAAGAUUAAAGCAGCCAUUAAUCUAAAUUAUAUUUAACAGAAGCAAAAUUAAGCAAACCAUUAAAUCCUUUUUUUUAUAAGCUCUCCACCAAAUUCCCACCAUUGAUUUGAAUGAACAGCAACUCAAAAUAAAAUUAAAAAGGACAAAUUUUUUUGUUCUCUCAUGAACUCAUGGGUCACCGACUAAAAACAGAGAACAAAGUCACGAGAUCAAACAAAGACUAAAAAGAUCUGUUAAAAUGAGAGAUCAAACAAGUGCGAAUCUGAAGCAAGAUUUGAACAUUCUGG